GAGGGACGCUGGGAGUGGCGGUUGUUUCAAGAUGGCGGAUGUGGCCGCGGGGCUGAAGCCGGAAGGAGCUGCCUACUGGAGCCGGGACCUUUCAGAUGAAGACCGGCAACCUGUAUAUGUUCCAGGAGUUUCUGAUGAGAGGAAUGUUAGAGCAAGGCGUCUUCUGAGAGGGCAGAAGACAGAAGCGAAGGCCAAAGUAGCUGUCGCUGCGACUCCAGCCCCAAUGGAGGCCUUGAAACAGACUGGAGAGGAAG